AUUGAACGCUGGCGGCAGGCUUAACACAUGCAAGUCGAGCGGAGAUGAGGUGCUUGCACCUUAUCUUAGCGGCGGACGGGUGAGUAAUGCUUAGGAAUCUGCCUAUUAGUGGGGGACAACAUACCGAAAGGAAUGCUAAUACCGCAUACGUCCUACGGGAGAAAGCAGGGGACCUUCGGGCCUUGCGCUAAUAGAUGAGCCUAAGUCGGAUUAGCUAGUUGGUGGGGUAAAGGCCUACCAAGGCGACGAUCUGUAGCGGGUCUGAGAGGAUGAUCAGCCACACUGGGACUGAGACACGGCCCAGACUCCUACGGGAGGCAGCAGUGGGGAAUAUUGGACAAUGGGCGGAAGCCUGAUCCAGCCAUGCCGCGUGUGUGAAGAAGGCCUUUUGGUUGUAAAGCACUUUAAGCGAGGAGGAGGCUACUAGUACUAAUACUACUGGAUAGUGGACGUUACUCGCAGAAUAAGCACCGGCUAACUCUGUGCCAGCAGCCGCCGUAACAC
rnacentral:rRNA from 1 species